rnacentral:rRNA from 1 species
AUUGAACGCUGGCGGCAGGCCUAACACAUGCAAGUCGAACGAGUGGCGGACGGGUGGGUAAUGUCUGGGAAACUGCCUGAUGGAGGGGGAUAACUACUAGAAACGGUAGCUAAUACCGCAUACCACCAUAUGUGCCCAGAGUGGUUUAGCUUGUUGGUGGGGUAACGGCUCACCAAGGCGACGAUCCCUAGCUGGGCUGAGAGGAUGACCAGCCACACUGGGACUGAGACACGGGCCAGACUCCUACGGGAGGCAGCAGUGGGGAAUAUUGCACAAUGGGCGCAAGCCUGAUGCAGCCAUGCCGCGUGUAUGAAGAAGGCCUUCGGGUUGUAAAGUACUGUCAGCGGGGAGGCGUUACCCGCAGAAGAAGCAACGGCUAACUCCGUGCCAGCAGCCGCGGUAAUUC